UAAUUCCCAGAUUCAAAGCUCCCCUUGCCUGUUUUGAGAUUCGGAGGGAAAGCCUGUGAUUCGGUUCCCCUCCAUCCUCCAGACCAGUCUGAAGGUUAUGGUCCAUGGUCCGAGGGUUCGUUUUUUCCCCCCUUCACUUCUCUACCGGUUACUCCUCCCCACAAAUACUCUGAGGCCUGGUUAGAAAUUGGGGGUGGUUAGGUAAUGGGGGGGCGUGUUGCUGGUUCUUAGGGUCGAUCUGGGAGGGUUUGUCUGAGGAGGCUUCGCUAGGCUGCACCCAGGUCUUUGCCAGGGAAGAGGGAGGACUUUGUCAGAGGUCCUUUCUGUCAGCGGCCUCCUGUGAUGUCAGAUCCACAGCUCUGCUGUUUCGGCUGUGAACUCGGUGCAGGGGUUGUGUAUCCUUCAACAUCUCAUAGGAAGCACAGUACAGUGUCAUGUCUGAUAAAUAAUAAAUAAUAAUAAUCUACUGAAGGUAGCAGAACUGUCAGAGAAGAGAAGGGAAGACAGCAGGGAGAGAGCCCAUUGGUGUUACAGUGACUGCAUUUCCUGGGGGGGGGGGGAUAUCAGAUGAGGUUUUGGUGUAUGAAAGCUUGACAGGUGGGUUGGGGGUGCAGAGUGCUUGUAUCCCACAGGAGGCUACCCCAUGACAGGACAUCAAUGUGACAUUAAGACAGUGACAGAGGCUCUUCAAAGGGAGAUAGGGUGGGAGCUGGAGGGAAAAGCAGCUCCUAGAAGUCCUCAAAGUACGCCGGAAGGUGAAUGAUAGGUGUGGCCUGAAUACUAAGUUGGCAAGAUAGUGAAAGAGGUACCAGAAGGAGAUAGUAGGGGAGAGAAGCAGGGGUCACUUGCGAUUUGAAAUAGAUGCAGAGGCAACAUCUCAGCCAGAGAGAAGAACAAGGCCACGGGCAAGCCAGUUGCGUGGGAAGCCAUCCUCUGAGAUGAUCUGCGUGUGCACAUCACAGGAGUCCACCAGCUAAAUUCCGGGCAGCUUCCUGUACAGUAGCUGUUGGCACUACAGAAAGUGGCCAAGGUUUGUAGGGUCUGAAAUAGGUUAAAUGCUGGCAAUUUGGACAUGAGUCAUUUCUGACCAACUGUUUUGAACAAUCCUGAAGUGAAUAUUCAUUGGGACAGCACAUUCCGGGAAUCCGUCCUCAGCUCUCUUUAGAACUUCUGAAGCUGCACCACACACUUUCUGUACCCAGGAGGAAGAACUCCUGACUACAUGGCCAGUGGAAAGAUGAAUGUCAACAACAUGACACAGAGGCUUCUCUGCUGGAACCAGUGGUGACAAGGAGUCAAGCCCUGCACGGUGGGUGGUGCAGUAUCAGAAGCAGGUACUUAAGUCACUCUGCAUGAGGAUAUGCAGUGGAGGACAAUGCCUCCCCUCCAGCUGUCCUUCGCUUGGAACCCACAGCAUGUUUCUCCAACUGUCAUUUGGGUUGUCUAUGCUGAUUUCCCAGCCUGGGUCUUCAUUACUCAUUGUGCUGAAUGCUUGGCUGGACUUCGCACCACGUUCUGCUGAAGACUGGGUCCUGUCCUGUGCCCAUGCCGGAUGCUCGAGUUCUCUUUCAACAAAGCUGAACUUGCACUGCAACAAAGCUGCUGUCACCAAAGGGACUUUGCCAGUUGGCACAAUCCUGAAUCUCCUGUGGUGGUGUGUACCCUUCUAUAAUAGAAACUCUAGACUAUUGUAGGUAGUGGAAGGGCUGAAAUUCAAGUGAAAUACUGAUGCAUGCAAGAAAAUGAAGCUUUAGGACAUUUUCCAGAACUGGUUUGAUCUUUCUUUCUUGGGACAGUAGGAAAAAUGCCCGUGAUACACAAGAUGCCCACAAUGCCUACCAUAGUCACCACCCAGACCAACUAACCAGAUUUCUUCUCAUUCAGAACUCCCCAGAGAAAGGGAAAAUGAAAACCCUGGUCAGAAUGGCUAUCACCAAGAAAGCAAAUGACGACAAACGCUGAUAAAGAUGCAGAAAAAGAGAAACCCCUGCACACUGCUGGCUGGGGGGCAAAGUAGUGCAGCCUGUGAAAAUAAGUAUGGCGGCUUCUCCAAAAAGAAGAAAAAGCAAGAAAAAAAGAAAAAGAGAAGCAUCACUAAUGAAUAUAUACCCAAAGGAUGCUAAGUCAGCACACCACAGGGAUAAGGAUAAGGGCAUUUUCAGGCUUCUGACUCUCCUACUUGCAACACUUGAGACAAGGAAUUGAUUUAGAAUGGGUUAAAAAUAUGGUAGAUAUACACAGUGAAUUUUUUUUUUUUUGUCUAUAAAAAAGAAUGAGUAACAUUUUCAGGAAAAUAGGACUGGAGAUAAGCAUGUUUAGUGAAGUAAACCAGACUCAGAGACACAACAUUUUUUAUUUUAUUUUAUAUACAGAGUCUAGACUUAAAUUAUAUUUAAUCUCUUAAUAUAUGAUCUCUGUCUGUAUAUGUUAUACAUAUGUCAGACAUGAAAGUGAAAGGGAGACUGUGCAAGAGGAGGAAGAGUUCUAAAGAAGAAGGUAAUGGAAGAGAGGAUAAUGGACCCUAAGUGGCAUAAAAACAGAAGAGGAGCCAUUAGGGCCCGGUGGGGGACUUGCAGAAAGUGGGGGAGGGUGGGAGAGGGCUGUGGGAGGGGCAACAAGAAUAAAGUAAAUGACAUAUGUGCGGAAAUAUGACAACAAACCCAUGACUGCUUGUAUGCUAACUUAAACAGCAACAUUUAAAAAUAAAUAAAUAAACCCCAAAACUGUUCUUGGGCAGGCCAGCUGGCUACAUGGGUAAAGGUCCUCUCUUUUAUGCUCAGUGACCUGGGAUGAGUUCCCAGAGUCCUCUUAGUGGAAGGAGAGAACUGACUCCUGCAAGCUGUCCUCUGGCCU